GGGCAACAAGAGCAAAAACUCCGUCUCAAAAAAAAAAAAAAGCAGUAGUCCCCAACCGCUUUGGCACCAAGGACCGGUUUCACAGAAGGACAGCACCAAGCCAUUCAAGAGAGAUCUGCCCCCCAUCAGCCAAACACCUCCCACUAGGUCCCACCUCCAACACUGGGGAUCACGUCAACGUGAGACUUGGAGGGAUACACAUCCCAAUGGAACAAGCAGCUACUAUGUGUGCGAGGAUCUGGAGAAGCAAGGAGGGCCUUGCUCCCCUGGAGCUGACACUGCCGUGGGAGACAGCCGUAAACAUGCAGACAGACAGACACGUAGCACAGUGGUAGUGAUAGCUACGUGUGCGGAGUGAAAUGGAGCAGAGGACGGAGAGGGACUGGAACAAGCAGCGGAGCUUUCAGAGAGAAUCCAUCCUGCCCAUCACUCACGUCCUACAGCAUCCAACACAUCACUGAGCAAGUUUAUUAGGCCCCUGUGCUGCCCAACUUGCUUCCAGAGGCCUUGAAGGACACCAAAGAAGACUCAUGGGAUGCAGCUGGAGGCCAACCCUCAGAACAUUCACCCGUUAGUUGGCAAGCCGUGAGCACAUAGUUCCAGAAAGUGUAUAAUUACAUGCCCGGCGGCGUUGGUGUGAGGCUGAUCCCAGGUGUGGCGGAAGGUUGCCAGAGGUGGCGACCAUCUCGGCUGGAGGUGGGAAGGGAAGCUUCUGAGAAGAGGUGGCUCCUAGACAUUGCUCUCAAGGUGCGUUAAUGUGAGGUGGAAACAGGCCCAGGUGCAGAGCAGCAGGCUUUCCCAAGACUUCAUGGCUGUUUAUGAGGGUGGCAGAGACGUUUGGACCUAGAGAGGUUGGAUACCCACAGUUAGCCAUAGAAGCAGCGGAACGUUGGGGGAAACAGAGACAAGGGCUCUCACCCCGCCUGUGCUGCAUGCUAAUUUUAGAGCCUCAGGCACGUCAUUUAAUGUCUCUGUGCUUUAAUGCCUUCACCCAUAAAGGAGGGAUAAUAAUUUAUGUCAGCCUCUCCCCAGGGAUGGUUUAAGAGGAGAAAGGAGAGAAUAGCUGGGAGCAUGACCGGGAUAAUAAAGAGUAACAGGAAUACGCCUAUUAUUAGGUAUUUGUGUUAUGAUUUUGCAGCUCACAAUUGGCAAGCUCCCUGAAUAACUGCACCAUGAAGAAUCUCGAAGCUGUGAACUCUCUGUGGGCACUGUACCUUCAAACCCAUCAGAUUCCAUAGAUAUGAAAACCCUGUUUUCCAGAUGGAAAUGAUGAUGUCGUGAGCUCACACCAGGCUGCUUGCUGGAGCUUCUGUGAACGCAACAGCACGCUGCCCACAGGACUCCGGGACAUCUCACUUGGCUUCACUUUUUUAUCUGUGUUGCCUCCGGCCUCUGUACCUGCAUGACAGUCUGCCAGGGGGUCCAACUGAUGCCCACCACUACCUCCCACCCGCAGCCUGGUGGCCAGGACCCCCUCCUCUCCCAUCCCCACAGCUCGGCUGAGAUGAUGAGCUCUUGCAAGCAUGUGGUGCUGCGCCCUGGGGCAGCUGGAGGACCACGCAGAGUGAGGGAUGCCUGCACUAAAAGGGCUUGGCUGCCAUCACAAUUGCUACUGCCCGCAGCAGGCUUUCUUCCAUGGGCACAGGCGCCACCACCCACACCCCACCAGGGAGAAUCUCCAGGUAGCUCCACCCCUAGGAAUGAAGGCCAAGUAAGCUGCAGAGAGAAAAGCCUUACUUUCCCCAGUCUCAGUCCCUUCUUUUUCUACUCUGGGAUUAAACUCUUUUCAGGAUGACUAACAGUGGAAACAUCUAUUUGUUCAGAGGGAAACAGCCACUCCGACCCACGGGAUCUGGUCUCUGCCGGCCGGUGUCAGUCAAUAGAGCAACUGAUGAUGCAUUUCACAAAGCCCAGUCCAUUCUGCCUCAGAUGCCAUUGAGAAUCCAUCCAGGCCAGGUGCAGUGGCUGGCACCUGUCAUCCCAGCACAUUGGGAGACCAAAGUGGGAGGAUCACUGGAGCCCAGUAAUUCGAGGCCCGCCUGGGCAAUGUAGGAAGACCCAGUCUCUACAAAAAGAAACAGGAAUCCAUCCAGGAGGACAAACACGGUCAACUCCACUUCUAGGAGGUGCGUGGGGCUGUCAGAUUCAUAGAGACAUAGAUUGGUGGCUGUCAGGGCCUGGGGGAGGGGGAGGGGAAAUUAGGGUUUAGCAGGUACAGAGGAAGCUCCAUUCAGGAGGAUGAAAACGUUUCAGAGAUAGGGCGUGGUGAUGGCUGUGCAGCAAUGUGAAUGUGCAUCAGGCCACAGGACUGUACAUUUAAAAAUGAAUAAAAUGGGGACUUUUAUCUUAUGCACGUUUUAUCACAAUUUUAACAAAUCAGUCCAGGUUGCACCAUGCUGCAUCUGGACUGUUCUUGUCACCAUCUCCCUCCGGUGUGAGGUGAGAUAGAGGCCAGAUCUGGGGGCAGAGUCCAGCAUUGGCUGCAGGCCUCCUGUGAGCAAGCUUAGACCAAAAGGCACACAAACAUUUCCCAAGAGCACAACGUUUUCCUGCUCAGGCCAAAGCCACAUGUGGGGAGAAGAACAAAAUGUGUCUCCUAACUGCAGGGUGCAGUUCAGCGGGCACUCUCCAAUGCACUCAGGGUGUGCGGGGGCCCCAGGAGAACAAUGAGUAUGCCUCGCAUUCACGGUCCCCAAAGACCCCUCCUGGUUCAUUUUCUCGAAACAAAAGAAGUCUUUCUAGGGCGUUAAGAGCUUCGCCCUCCAGUGCAGAAACUGCUGGCGACUUUGAAAUGGCAGCCCUCCCGCCACAGAGAAAAUCUCCAGGCUCUUCAGGUCGCGGUUACACAUAGACAUUGUCCACUCUCAAAAUCUGCACGGAUUUGCAAGAUGAAACUUGCCUUCAAAGAAAUGUUGUCUCCCUUCUGGCUAGACACCCUGCCCUUUUGGGUUCUUUGCUCUCUCGCCUUCAGCCUGCAGGAGCAGUUGACUGGAAAGUUUGGGGAGUCUGAGCCAGGGUCAACUCUCUCUGGAGGUGCCCGCCUUAGGAAAGGCGCAGGUGGCAGUUUUCCUGGCUGGAGGCCCCGCCCAGAAACCUGAGAAGCCCACGCUGUUGAACAGCUUAAUAUUCUCCACUUUAAAGACUUUGACUAUAGCGAGCCUGAAGGGAGUUGAAAUACAAGAAAAGGGCCGGGCGCGGUGGCUCAAGCCUGUAAUCCCAGCACUUUGGGAGGCCGAGACGGGCGGAUCACGAGGUCAGGAGAUCGAGACCAUCCUGGCUAACACGGUGAAACCCCGUCUCUACUAAAAAAAAAAAAUACAAAAAACUAGCCGGGCGAGGCGGCGGGCGCCUGUAGUCCCAGCUACUCGGGAGGCUGAGGCAGGAGAAUGGCAUAAACCCGAGAGGCAGAGCUUGCAGUGAGUUGAGAUCCAGCCACUGCACUCCAGCCUGGGCGACAGAGGGAGACUCCGUCUCCAAAAAAAAAAAAAGAAAUACAAGAAAAGAAAAAGAACAGUUUCAUGUGCCGCAGUGAAAUCCCACCAAGAGAAUUCUCUGAGAUGGUUCACGAACCCUGAACAGACCCUGCUGGGCACGCCAGACCCCCUGUUAGAUCUCAGCAGCCCCAGCGGAGCUCUGGGAUUCACACAGUCACCAAGAAAAGGGGACUCCAGCAAGUCCCUGUGGGUGACCCUGAGGUGGGCAUCCAUAGGCACCGAGCCUCUUUUAGGAGAGGAUUCUCUAAAGCAAGAAAAAGAUGUUCGAACAACGAUCAAAUCUGGACCCAAGUCUGAGGAGUGUGUUGACUACUCUGAAAGAGAUUUUCCACCUCCUCAACUUUCAGAGAAGUUAAUUUGAAAGAAAACCCCAAAUCCGCUGUUCUUUUUGGCUGCUCAGAAUCUCAAUUUGUCCAUUUCAGGAACCCCCUGCCCUGUGGAGGAAAAGCCUACCUUGUAUAGCACAGGAUGAAAGUGCUGGAGACCACCUGCCUGGACCCCCACAGUGAGCAGUGGCCCAGGCUCUGCCUGCUCCCCAGCCCUAGCCCAGGCUGUGGACUGUUAAACCCUGACUUGGCAACAAAACCUUGAACAUCCUGGGAUACUUUUGAAGUCAUAUUUAAUUCUUUGAAAAUACAGGCAGUGAAGUCCACAACGCCUGGAGCCCCUUCUUUAUGGAGGAGAGGGAGGCAGAGGAAUGGACACUACAGGCAUUAGUAGUGCACAAAAUAUUUCCCAAUGGUCUGAAAGAAUCAAUGGGCCCAACUAAAGGAUACCUGAAGAUCAAGGCGUGCUGGCAGGAGAAAGAGCCCGUCUCAGAAUCCAGCCCAGGGCAUGUGGGCUGCAGAGAGAGGCACAGGGCCUCUGCUUCUCCUUCUGUGUCCCUCAGCCAUCCUCCUUCAGUGUUCCCUGGACAGUAUGGUGCCGAUCACAUGAUCAGAGGGUCGGGGCCCCCUGCUGGGCCCUGCAGAGACUCAUGGCAAUAAGGCAGAGGGCAGACACACUGAAUGUGGGUUCAGAAGCCCUGGCCUGAACCAGGGCUAUUCCUCAGCUGUGAGCUGGAAACUUUGAUGGCACAGCACAUGCGGUCCCUCAGGGCCAGCCUCCUUUGUAAAUAAGGACAAGAGGGAUUUAAAUCACUGAUUUAAGUCAGGGGUUCUCAAAUUCUAGUGCAAGAACUGGUGCUAGACUGAAAAAGAUUUCAUUUUCACAGGUUGAUGGAGAAAAGAGAAAACCACAAUAACCAAAAAAAGGAAUAAUUGUGUCCUGAAGCUAAUUUAUUUCUAUUAAAAUGCUGAGAAGUUCUGUUUUGUUAUAAUUCACUUUGCAUGUGAAUUCUAUCACGGUGGCAAAGUGGGUGAUAUGUGUUCUAAUUACUCCAUCUGAGUGAAUAAAAAGUUAGCAACUCAA